ACACAUGCAAGUCGAGGGGUAUAGUUCUUCGGANACUAGAGACCGGCGCACGGGUGCGUAACGCGUAUGCAAUCUACCUUUUACAGAGGGAUAGCCCAGAGAAAUUUGGAUUAAUACCUCAUAGUAUAAUGACUUGGCAUCAAGACAUUAUUAAAGUCACAACGGUAAAAGAUGAGCAUGCGUCCCAUUAGCUAGUUGGUAAGGUAACGGCUUACCAAGGCUACGAUGGGUAGGGGUCCUGAGAGGGAGAUCCCCCACACUGGUACUGAGACACGGACCAGACUCCUACGGGAGGCAGCAGUGAGGAAUAUUGGACAAUGGGCGCAAGCCUGAUCCAGCCAUGCCGCGUGCAGGAUGACGGUCCUAUGGAUUGUAAACUGCUUUUAUACGAGAAGAAACACUACUUCGUGAAGUAGCUUGACGGUAUCGUAAGAAUAAGGAUCGGCUAACUCCGUGCCAGCAGCCGCGGUAAUACGGAGGAUCCAAGCGUUAUCCGGAAUCAUUGGGUUUAAAGGGUCCGUAGGCGGUUUAGUAAGUCAGUGGUGAAAGCCCAUCGCUCAACGGUGGAACGGCCAUUGAUACUGCUGAACUUGAAUUAUUAGGAAGUAACUAGAAUAUGUAGUGUAGCGGUGAAAUGCUUAGAGAUUACAUGGAAUACCAAUUGCGAAGGCAGGUUACUACUAAUUGAUUGACGCUGAUGGACGAAAGCGUGGGUAGCGAACAGGAUUAGAUACCCUGGUAGUCCACGCCGU
rnacentral:rRNA from 1 species